GCCCCGAUGGUGAAGUGGUUAUCACGUUCGCCUCACACGCGAAAGGUCCUGGGUUCAAUUCCCAGUCGGGGUA